rnacentral:tRNA from 1 species
GGGCCAGUAGCUCAGUUGGUUAGAGCACAACGCUUAUAACGUUGGGGUCGAUGGUUCAAGUCCAUCCUGGCCUACAA